rnacentral:rRNA from 1 species
CUUGGCUCGCGCAACGAUGAAGGACGCAGCGAACUGCGAAACGCAAUGUGAAUUGCAGAAUUCAGUGAAUCAUCAGAUUUCUGAAC